UCUGAAGCAGCUGGGCAGCCUUCGUCCGCACCCCUUCAUCGGCAAACAAGCCCGGAUAGUCAAAUGUGGUGCGGAAGGGGGCGAAUUCAGGUGCAGACCUCGAGCUAGAUCCAGUCUCGAAGGUUCUGCGGGGGCCAGUCUCUUGGGCCUUCCGUUCUCUAAUCAGCUUGGCGCCGCGAAGUCUCACGGCCAAGUGUGGAAGAACCGCCUCUCGGUACAGAUGUGCACCCUUCUUCUUCUUGAUUGGAUUUCCAGAAGGGUCC
rnacentral:lncRNA from 1 species